UGGCGUGAUAGGCCGCCCAGCCGAGGAGCUCCUCGCGCUCCUCGGUGUUGGCCCGCUCGGCGCCGGGCUCGCCCCGG
rnacentral:tRNA from 1 species